rnacentral:rRNA from 1 species
CCAUUUGUGAGGCAGCAGUGGGGAAUUUUAGACAAUGGGCGAAAGCCUGAUCUAGCCAUGCCGCGUGAGUGAUGAAGGCCCUAGGGUCGUAAAGCUCUUUCAACUGUGAAGAUAAUGACGGUAGCAGUAGAAGAAACCCCGGCUAAAUCCGUGCCAGCGCCGCCGGUAAUAUGGAGGGGGUUAGCGUUGUUCSGAAUUACUGUGGGUAAAGCGUACGUAGGCGGAUUAAUAAGUUAGAGGUGAAAUCCCAGGGCUCAACCCUGGAACUGCCUUUAAAACUGUUAGUCUUGAGAUCGAGAGAGGUGAGUGGAAUUCCAAGUGUAGAGGUGAAAUUYGUAGAUAUUUGGAGGAACACCAGUGGCGAAGGCGGCUCACUGGCUCGAUACUGACGCUGAGGUACGAAAGUGUGGGGAGCAAACAGGAUUAGAUACCCUGGUAGUCCACACCGUAAACGAUGAAUGCCAGACGUCAGCAAGCAUGCUUGUCGGUGUCACACCUA